rnacentral:rRNA from 1 species
GAGAAACCUGUCCCGAAGAUGGGAAUAGCCCAGGGAAACCUGGAUUAAUACCCAAUACCCUGAGAGCGUCGCAUGGCGCACUCAGGAAAGGUUCCGGCGCUUUGGGAGGGUCUCGCGGCCUAUCAGCUUGUUGGUGAGGUAAAAGCUCACCAAGGCAUCGACGGGUAGCUGGUCUGAGAGGACGAUCAGCCACACUGGGACUGAGACACGGCCCAGACUCCUACGGGAGGCAGCAGUAGGGAAUCUUGCGCAAUGGGCGAAAGCCUGACGCAGCAACGCCGCGUGGGGGAAGAAGGCUCUAGGGUCGUAAACCCCUUUCAGCAGGGACGAAAAUGACGGUACCUGCAGAAGAAGCGCCGGCCAACUACGUGCCAGCAGCCGNGGUAAUACGUAGGGCGCAAGCGUUGUCCGGAUUUAUUGGGCGUAUAGGGCUCGUAGGCGGUUCGGUAAGUCGGGUGUGAAAACUCAGGGCUCAACUCUGAGACGCCACUCGAUACUGCCAUGACUAGAGUCCGGUAGAGGAGUGCGGAAUUCCUGGUGUAGCGGUGAAAUGCGCAGAUAUCAGGAGGAACACCGACAGCGAAGGCAGCACUCUGGGCCGGUACUGACGCUGAGGAGCGAAAGCGUGGGGAGCAAACAGG